rnacentral:misc_RNA from 1 species
UGAUAAGAAUUUAUUGAACUAAAUGGUUCGUUGCAUUGCUGUCGAAAGUGAACUGCAGCUUUUGAUCGUGUGCAUUUUAGCAAUACAAAGGCCUCUGCGUGUAUCAGACGUUAUGCCUUAUUUUAUUUCGAUAAUUAGAACUACUAAGCAGCAUAGGUCAAUAUUCAUUUUUUAGUAUCUUUGCUCAUAAGGGGGCUAAAGUAUUGCAUGGAUAUUCUAGUAAUGAUGUGUUUGCUGAACUGUCUUUCAUUACGUGUCUCUUAUAGCAACCUUCUUGGGAUUGCCCAAUGGGUGCAUCAUCUUGUGUUGAUUAUCAUUUUGCCCGUGCAGAUAUCUGAAGUACUUGACAAAAA